CUGAUGGAAGAGGCGCCUCAAGGCUGAGGGUUUCCAGUACCGAGGAGCCGCCCUGGCAGCCCUGGCUCGGAGGGAGAAGGCCCUGCCCCUUCCGGACCCGACAGAUGCCUAAGAAAAUCUCAACUUUAGAAUAAGGCAACAACUAAUAGCACUUGUUGAAUUGCUGUUAAAAAGAAUCACAGGUACUGGCAAUAUAGUAGUGAACAAAACAGAAAACAAGUCUUGCCUGUGUGGAGCUUAUAUUAUUAAGGAUGGAGAGAGACAGCACAAACAUUUAGUGUGUGGCAACUACCCAACUUCAACCAUGGGGACGAAGAGGAUGAUCUAAGGGAUGGCAGUGUGACAAAGGGAAGGAUCCCUGAAUACCAGCCUGACUGCCCAACGCAAGGAUUAUGCGUUUUGCACAAAGCAUCCUGAAGGUGUGUCUUGCUGGUGGUGAAAAAAUAAAGCAUCUCUCAGAAAGAGCCAACCAAAGGUCAGGCUUUUGAGAAAACCUGGUUCAUUUGGGUUGGGAGAAAACUUUGGACCUUCUACUUAUUACACAUUUUCAACGGCUAAUGUCUUCAAAUCAUAUAUGACAUUCCCUAUGUGAUAAGAAGCUUCCUGCCUCUUUUCUAAGAAGAAAACAUCUUUCACAGCUGCUAGAAUGCCUACAUUUACCUCCAAACUCCAGGCAUCGACACAAGUUUGAAUCCUACUUCUGUAAAAAUAAAUCUGGUUUAAAGGGUUUACAAUGUGGCCUUGAGGCUCAACCUGGUUUGAGCCAGCCUCUGCGUCCAUCACCUUGGGAAAUGGGAAUCACAUCCUCUGAACCCCACAUCAGGACAAGUGGCCACAUA